rnacentral:rRNA from 1 species
CGCUUGAAGUCAGACUUGCAUUUGGAGUUCAGCCGCAAGGUGUAUUCUUCAAUUCGCAGGCCAGCAUCAGUUUUCGGGGGUGGAAAAUCGCGGUUUGAAGGUAGCAGUUUCGGCUGUGUUAUAGCUUUCCGCUGGAUUCACUUUUGGGGACUGAGGAACGCAGUACGCUUUUUGCAAGAUUCUAGAGUCUUUCGUACUUAGGAUGCUGGUGGAAUGGCUUUAAACGACCCGUCUUGAAACACGGACCAAGGAGUCUAACAUGCUUGCGAGUGUUUGGGUGUUAAACCCGGACGCGUAAUGAAAGUGAAUGUAGGUGGGAUCCGCAAGGUGCACCAUCGACCGAUCUGGAUUUUCUAAGAUGGAUUUGAGUAAGAGCAAUUAUGUUGGGACCCGAAAGAUGGUGAACUAUGCCUGAAUAGGGUGAAGCCAGAGGAAACUCUGGUGGAGGCUCGUAGCGGUUCUGACGUGCAAAUCGAUCGUCAAAUUUGGGUAUAGGGGCGAAAGACUAAUCGAACCAUUUAAAUUUUUGCUACUUGGUGGUUAAUAGGGACUUCAAAGUAGAGCCCUAGUGGGAGUGGUAACUUGCGACACUUUCAAAUUGCGGGGACGCCCUUAGAGCUCUAAUUACGGCGGCUCAUCGAAAGAUAGAGUGCAGCAGCAGGGUAAUGACCUCGCGGAUCGUAAAAACAUUAGAGAUUGGGUAAUCCGCAGCCAAGUCCUAAAUAGUACCUUUUCAGUUACUACAUGGAUGCAGUUCAUCGACUAAAUGGAAGUGGGUAUCGUUUCUUAACCGAAAGGGUGCUUGAGAUAUAGUCAGCCCCUCGUGAGAGCGAGCCAUUAGGACUAAGAUUCGUUUUCGUUUUUACCACUUUUAAACGACGUUUCCCGAGCCUAAUGGGGUCUAAUAAGGAGAAUCUAGCAAAUCUCCAAGAC